rnacentral:rRNA from 1 species
AUGGAUCAGGAGCUGAUCAAGCACCUUGAGGCCAAAGUGAGUGUUGACAGCGCGAGAUCUCACCCUCUCAUCGAUUUGUUCAUACCAACCAUCGACAACGAGCACGGCAUAUGCUACACCCAUCCUGAGAAACUUCCAGGUAUCACACUGAGUGGCCUAAGCAAGCAUUUCUUUCAGCGCAAUUCCAGGGCGUUCAAAAGGGGCAUGUGGACGCGUCGCAAGAUACAGUCGGAGUGCGGCAUGCACGCGAUGUGGCACAACACCGGCAAUACCUUGCUAGUGAUGGUCAACGGCCGGCAGACAGGCAGCAAAAAGGUUCUGGUGCUGCACACCAACAAGAACUUCGACUAG